CCGUUGGUGAACCAGCGGAGGGAUCAUUACAGGACUCGCAAGACUCCUACAACCCUGUGAACUUAACUAUAAGCACGUUGCUUCGGCGGGUGUCUCGGAGGGGGUUCUCCCUCCCCGAGACGCUAAACCCGCCGGCAGCCUACUAUACUCUGUCUCUUUGCGUUGGCAUCUCGAGUACAAUCAAACAAGUUAAAACUUUCAACAACGGAUCUCUUGGUUCUG
rnacentral:misc_RNA from 1 species